GUGGAUCCAGUCAAAGCGCAUACUGACUCUACCCCCAAUGCUGAUUUGUUUUAUUACUCAAAAUUAAAACCUGUUUUAAUUCAUUUUUUGCUUAAAAAAACGUUUUAACUUUGAUUUUUCUUUUAAAAAAAAAAAAAAAACCUAAAGUUUUGGAAUCCCUCACUCUCCCCUCUACUCUACGCUGAAAGGCUUAUGCCCAAGCCUUCAACUGCCCCAAAAUUCCCUUGCGACCAGCGAAGCAGAGCCCUCCGACGGUGCAAGCACGACGCGCGGUGAGUCCCUCUCCUUCUCUCCUAUCCUUUAGUUCGUGUUGUGGAUCCAAAUGGAAAGGGAAAAAAUGAAAAAAGACGAAACAAAAUAAAGCUGUAGUAAAUAAUCACCUUUGAAAAUAUUCCUUAGUUGCUUUCUACUAAUUUUUGCGUGUAUUUUGUAUACAAUCUGUAACCAAUUUCUCUAGAAAAAUAAGAGUAAAAAAACCUCCCCUUUUACAUAUGUUUACGAAGGCUUUUAUAGCCCUUUUUUACAACGUGUUUUACAUGUUUGAAGGUACGAUUGAGCACGUCUUUGAUGUGGCGUGGUGGAUGAGCGCAAGACGCGGAAGGGCUAGCGACGUUCGGUGCCUGGGGACUGCUUCGAUUGCGGCGGCUGAAGGUUGGCUGCUAGGGUUCUGCCGAAAAUGAUUUUUUGGUUUUGGGCUAAAAAUUUGGGCUAGGGUUCAGGUAUUUUAGGAUUGGGUUUGUGUUGGGCUUGGUUGAAUUGGGUCCGAGGGUGUUUUGUUUUAAUUUAGUAUUGGUUUGGGCCCCGGGCUAAAAUUGAGCCCAACAUAGGUCAUUUAUAGAGUCAAGCAUAAAUUAAAUAUAUAAAUAAAAGUCACAUCUUAAACAUAAAAAUAUGACAUAAUAAAAAACUAGCAACUUUUUCUUUCAUAACCAUCAUCAUAAACAUGCAUGAAAUUUAAUUCAAAAUCUAAUCAUUCAUUCUCAUAAAGCUUUCAUUUACAAUUGCUCAUGUCAUUUCUCUAAAUAAUUAACAAAUGGAAUAAUAUAAAACGUAUGAACUACUAUAGCAACAUAAAUAAAUCAGUUAAUAUUCAUUUUCAUGAACAAAUGAGAUGCUUAGAACAAUAUAUAACUCAUGCAAUCAAAACUUAAAAAGAAGACAAUCUCAAAUAUUUAAAUCAUAUAUCAAGUUGAUUUAAUAUUUAAAGAUGUACUCUCUUUUUUUUGCGUUGAGUCUUGAUGAUUUUAUCAAGAAGUAAG
rnacentral:lncRNA from 1 species